CCAUAUAGAUGAUCUUGGCCCUAUAGCGAUGCUCCUGAUCCCAUAUGGCUGCUCCUGGUCCCAUAUAGAUGUUCUUGGCCCUAUAGCGAUGCUCCCGGUCCCAUAGAGACACUCCUGGACCCAUAGCGAUGCUCCUGGCCCUGUAUAGGGAUGCUCCCAGCCCCAUACAGACGCUCCCAGCCCCAUAGCAUCGCUCCGGGCCCCAUGGGACCCCCAGCAAGGUGAUGGGGGGGGGGUGUUACAUGUGCCCCCCCCCUAAAUUUGCAGAGCUCCUUCCUGGGUUGGGGGGGGGGGCCAACCAAGGGGUGCAGCCUCAGUCCAUAUAGCAACUCCCAGCCCCAUAGCAUCCCAGCCCCAUAGCAUCCCAGCCCCAUAGCAUCGCUCCAGGCCCUAUGGGAACCCCAGCAGGGUAAUGGGGGGGGGGAUUAUGUGUGCCCCCCCCCUAAAUUUGCACUCAGAGCUCCUUCCUGGUCGCGGGGGGGGGGGCA
ensembl:lncRNA